rnacentral:tmRNA from 1 species
GGGGCCGACCUGGCUUUGACAGCGUGUCGAUUCCCACUUGUAAGCAUGCAGAGCUUUGGAUGGCGGCUCUUAAAUCUCGAUGUCCAAGCCGUAAUUGGCGACAACAACUACGCACUCGCUGCAUAAUCGGUCUAAGACCGAUCAUCUUAAUCCACGUUACUAGGUAACGGGACGAGUUGCCCGGGUGAUGGCUUCUGUCUUGCUGCUUUCACUGAUCGGGUAUCGUUGAGUAAGACUAGGGACCCGACUCGCUCUUAGGAAGGACCGAAGAAGUAAUGAGAUAAGCCUAUGAUAGGUAGCCUCUCACCAGGCAUAGGACGAAAACCCAAUAUGAGGAUAAGCAUGUAGAAGUCACGUGAGAUUCACGUUUGGACGGGGGUUCGACUCCCCCCGGCUCCACCU